CAGGGGAACGUGCAGAAGAAUGAUGGCCGGUGCAAAUGGAAGCCCUGGAAAGCCAUAAGUGCGUUUUCAGAAACCUAAUGGGAGAGGAGGACGUUCGGCAGUGUUACAGGAGGUCUGUGCCUCAGCUGCUCCCGCUGACUUCUAUAGGACCUUCUGUCUGUUGGAUCUUCAGUAAAUCAGGCUCCAUGUAUCCAAAGUGUUUGCAUUUCAGACAGGACAUGUAAAAUUACUGUGACAACUCUCGCAUUUUCCAGCUGAGGAUCACAGUAAAUAUGGGAUUGGUCAAGUGUAAGAGAACCUCUUUGCUCAGAGAGAGGAAGAGAACACAAGAGAAGAUGACAGUCCUUAAAGAUUCUGGAAGAAGAUGUCAGACUGAUGAACCAGGAAAAACUUACUUCUAAGUAGCAGAACUACCUCCACUUUGUGUCCUAUUGGAAGGAGGUAAAUAGUGUUUUUUGAACAGAGCCUGGCUUCUAGAGGACACUUUGCAGAAGCUCUGGGAAUAACAUAUCAGCAAAAGGAACAACGAUGACGACGACAACAAC